rnacentral:rRNA from 1 species
UACAGAGGUCUCAAGCGUUGUUCGGAUUCAUUGGGCGUAAAGGGUGUGUAGGUGGCGCGCUAAGUCGGGUGUGAAAUUUCGGAGCUUAACUCCGAAACUGCAUUCGAUACUGGCGUGCUUGAGGACUGGAGAGGAGACUGGAAUUCAUGGUGUAGCAGUGAAAUGCGUAGAGAUCAUGAGGAAGACCAGUGGCGAAGGCGCCACUCUGGGCCGUAACUGACGCUGAGGAGCGAAAGCGUGGGUAGCAAACAGG